AGUCGAACGCGCAGCACUCUGUAGCAAUACAGGGUGUGGGCGCGUGGCGAACGGGUGCGUAACACGUGGAUAACCUUCCUUCAGGUGGGGAAUAACCCCGCGAAAGCGGGGCUAAUACCGCAUAACAAAACGAUGAGACAUCUUGUUGUUUUCAAAGGCGCAAGUCGCCAGAAGAGGGAUCCGCGGCCGAUUAGCUUGUUGGCGGGGUAAUGGCCCACCAAGGCAAUGAUCGGUAGCCGGACUGAGAGGUUGGCCGGCCACACUGGAACUGAGACACGGUCCAGACUCCUACGGGAGGCAGCAGUGGGGAAUCUUGCACAAUGGGCGAAAGCCUGAUGCAGCAACGCCGCGUGGGGGAUGAAGCUUCUCGGAGUGUAAACCCCUUUCGACCCGGAAGAAAGCCCGCAAGGGUUUGACGGUACGGGUAUAAGAAGCCCCGGCUAACUACGUGCCAGCAGCCGCGGUAAAACGUAGGGGGCCAGCGUUGCUCGGAAUUACUGGGCGUAAAGGGUCCGUAGGCGGUGUGGCAAGUCGGUAGUGAAAUCUCUGGGCUUAACCCAGAGGCUGCUGCCGAAACUGCCGUGCUAGAGUGUGAGAGAGGCGAGUGGAAUUACGGGUGUAGCGGUGAAAUGCGUAGAUAUCCGUAGGAACAUCCGAGGCGAAAGCGGCUCGCUGGAUCACAACUGACGCUGAGGGACGAAAGCUAGGGGAGCAAACAGGAUUAGAUACCCUGGUAGUCCUAGCCCUAAACCAUCA
rnacentral:rRNA from 1 species